rnacentral:lncRNA from 1 species
CCAUUCUCUUCUGUUUUCUUAAAGCACAAUUAUCCCAAAUUCUUAAAUAUGCAGAACCAGCAGGUUAGGCAUAUAUCUGCUAUGGCCACAAUUUUAUCAGCCAAUAGCCAUGGAUUUCAGUGUUCUCUCUCCCAUGUUACCAUUGUUCUUCUAUUCAGUAAAAUAAACUCAAGACAGUUUAUAGCUUCAAGAUCUUCAUCUGACCACCAAUAGUAUGACACAAGACACAUGAUCAAUGAUCGAUCAUUAAAUAGCUUAAUGAUUUCGAGUAACUUCAAUGUAAUCUAGUGAAAUUACCGAAAUUUGACAGGAUGAGGAAUGAGCAUGACUUAAAAUAUAGUAAGUUUACUUAAUUAAGUAAAAUUGAAUUUGUUCUCUAGAGGUUUUCAAUUGAACUUGAGAAGGUCAGCACGAUAUACACGUUAAUUGUUUUCAUGGCUUUGUGUUGUAAAUCAAUGUAGAGAAUCAAGGUGAAAUUGUGAGUUAUUAAUGCUUUUUCUUAUCGCUUUACUCUCAAAACUGACUUGGUCAACUGAUUAGUUGUAACCUGAAAUCUUUUUCACGAUUUUCUUAUCGUUUCUCUCAAAAUUGGCUUGGUCAACUAAUAUUGCAACUUUUACCCAAUAGGGAAAAAUACCACCAAGAUUUUUCUAAAUUUCAUCCAAGGG